rnacentral:tRNA from 1 species
GACCUCCUGGCGGAGCGCGGGAUCGCGGGCGUCGGCGGCACGCCGGAGCGCGGGGCGUUCGUGGUCGUCCGGCGGUCG